GCCCACGUGGUGGAAUUGGCAGACACGCUAGACUUAGGAUCUAGUGCCGAGAGGCGUGGGGGUUCGACUCCCUCCGUGGGCACCA
rnacentral:tRNA from 1 species